ensembl:lncRNA
UUUUUUUUUUUUUUUUUUGGUCUUCUUAGGGCCACAUCCUCAGCAUGAGGAAGUUCCCAGACCAGGGGUCAAAUCAUAGCUGUGACCGCCAGCCUACACCACAACCACAGCAAUGCCAGAUCCAAGCUGCAUCUUCGACCGACACCACUGCUCAGAGCAACGCGGGAUCCUUAACCCACUGAGCGAGGCCAGGGAUGAAACUCACAUCCUCAUGGAUACUAGCCAGAUUCCUUACUGCUGAGCCAGGACAGGAACUCCCAACACUAGCAGUCUUGUCUUUAUGAAGCUUGGUCCACAAUUUAAUUAGUGCCAGAAAUGACCCUCUAAAUGAAUGCUCCUAAUGUUUCCAGUGCCUAUAUUCUUUCAAGAAAGAAUGUUAAAUGAUGCUUUCUACCACAUUAGGCUAUAGCAGCAAUUGCAAGUGUAACGAAGAGCAUCGUAGUUGUCUAAAGACUGUGGUGCCAGGUGACAUCAGAAGUAGAGGCUGUCACCUCCGUGGCAGGACUUGAGAAGCAACAGGAAAACCUAAGUCUACCUAAUUUCUAAAUUCACACUUUUAGAGACAAACUCCCUUUUUUUUUUUUUUUUUGUCUUUUGUCUCUUUAGGGCUGCACCCUUGGCAUAUGGAGGCUCCCAGGCUACGCCACAGCCACAGCCACAGCCACAGCCACAUGGGAUCCAAGCUGCAUCUGCAACCUAUACCACAGCUCACGGCAAUGCUGGAUCCUUAACCCACUGAACGAGGCCAGGGAUCGAACCUGCAUCUUCAUGGAUACUAGUUGGGUUCGUUAACCACUCAACCACGAUGGGAACUCCCCAAGAGACAAACUACUUUAAGUGAAGGCACAACCUCUGCUCUGACUCAAAUGCCUUUGAAAGGUGGGCAUGCUGUUCAUUUCCAGCGAGUGGCCUCUAAGUAUGAAUUAGGUGGAGUCAUCAAAGAGGCUUUAAUAUGGAAAUGAGCAGAGAUACAGAGGGCAAGGGGGUUAUAGAGACGUGGGGAAGAGUGGAAAGGGAGACAGUAGUAGUUCAGAGAGCUGUUCUUAACUGUGUCUCAGGGCAGACAACAGCUCAUUCAUUGAAAUCAUCUUCCUAAGCAUGGGUGGACUUGCUCCAAUCACAGGGCCUGACGAUCCUAUGAUUUAUGUGAGUUUUCUCACUCCUCCAAGUCACCAGGUUGCCUCUUCUCUUCUCUCCUCCUGCUUGGCUGUAGCCUUGCCUCCCAAUUCAUUGAGAAAACGGAAUUGAUCAAAUGGGAACGCUCACCUUCCCGCUCACACACUUCCAACCCUCUCACACCCGCACCGCCCUUCCUGCCUCCCCUCCAGUUUGAGGAUGACUUGGCCCCGCUCCUCCCAGUGGCCCCUCUCUUCCUCCACUUGGCUCUGGGUCCCGUUUCCUCUUGCAUCCUCAGUGCUGGGUCAGUCCCAGCAGCACACAAUAUGCUCUAGAAUCUCUCUUGGAAAGCCUUGCAUUACAUGUAUUUUUAUUUUUAUUUUUUGGUGUGUUUAGGGCUGCACCUGAGGCAUAUGGAGGUUCCCAGGCUAGGGGUUGAAUCAGAGUGACAGCUGAGGGCUACACCACAGCCAUAGCAAGAUGGGAUCUGAGCCACAUCUAUGACCUACACCACAGCUCACAAUGCCAGAUCUUUAACUCACUGAGCAAGGCAGAUGAUCGAACCCACAUCCUCACAGAUACCAGUCAGGUUCACAACCCACGGAGCCACAAUGGGAACUCCCAAAUUAUUAGUUUAAAAUGACUAAUUUGGGGAGUUCCCUGGUGGUCUAAUGGUUAGGAAUCAGUGCUUUCACCACUGCAGCCUGGGUUCAAUUCCUGGUCUGGGGGAACUGAGAUCCCACAUCAAGCAAUUGCAUGUUGUGGCCAAAAAUGAAACAAUACAAAACAAGACUAAUAUAGAGGGAGAACGAUAAGAGAAAAUAUGAACUAAAAUACUCAGUUAACUGUGUCAAGGAACAUAGCAGGUGUUCAAUGAACACCUUUUUAAAGUCUAAACAAAUCAAAGGGAGAUUUUGUUUUAAGGCUCAUCCCUUUUUCAGGGGUAGGAUGUAUACACCAGGAGGAGAACCCAGCACUUCCAAAGGCAUAGUCACAGUGGGGUUUUGGUUGCUCACACACCAUAUCCACCAAUGGCCCCUGCUUGUUACUACAGUUGCAGAUUCCCCCUACAUGGAUGAGGAGGUACUCCACCAUCUUAGCCAAAGAAAGUAAUUUCUAACGUAGAACUAGAAAUCCCCAGCACAUAACAGGUGCUCAGUACAUUUUCCAAGACCUACAAUACAAAGGUAACACUACUAGGUCAAUAUCACCUUCUAGUCCACCUGUGAAGGCCAUCCCUGUGGUAGAAAUGCUAUGCUCUGUGGAGAACAAGGAACCCAUCUACUCUGUUGGAGGGAAUGUAAAAUGGUGCAGCUUUUAUGGAAAACUCAAAAAAGCUAAAAAAAGAGUUGCUGAAUGAUCCAGUAAUCCCACUGCUGGGCAUCUAUCUAGAGAAAACUAUAACUUGAAAAGACACAUGCACCCAUAUGUUCACAGCAGCAUAAUUCACAAUAGCCAAGACACAGAGGCAAUCUGAGUGUCCACUGACUGAUGAAUGGAUAAAGAGGUUGUAUAGUACACAUAUACAGUGGAAUACUACUCAGCCAGGAAAAGAACAAAACAAUGCCAUUCACAGCAACAUGGAUGCAACUCAAAAUUCUCAUACCAAGUGAAGUAAGUCAGAAAGAGAAAGACAAACCCCAUAUGAUAUGACUUAUACGUGGAAUCUAAAAUAUGACACAAAUGAACUUAUUUACAAAACAAAAAGACUCACAGACAUCGAAAGCAAACUUAUGGUUACCAAAGGGGAAAGGGGGAAGAGAUAAAUUGGGAAUUUGGAAUAAACAGAUAUACACUACAUAUAAUGUAGAUAAACAACUAGGACCUAUUGUAAGCACAGGGAAAUGUAUUUAAUAUCUUGUAAUAGCCUAUAAUGGAAAAGAAUCUGAAAAGUAAUAUGCAUAACUAAAUUACUUUGCUGUACAGCAGAAAUAAAAACAACCUUGUAAAUCAACCAUAUGUCAAUAAAAUUUUUUUUAAUUCCCACCCCCUGCCCCCAGGAUGCCACCCACCUCCCUCCUGAACCCCUGCUCCUGCUUCACAUCUAACAGUCCUGUCCCUCCAGACUUUCUUCAGAGGCAUGACAUACUCUUUAUACAAUUCUCUUUGGAGUUCCUGUCGUGGCUCAUUGGAAAUGAAUCUGACUUGCAUCCAUGAGGCUGUGGGUUCAAUCCAUGGCCUCCUCAGUGGGUUAAGGAGGAGCUGUGUUGCUGUGAGCUGUGGUGUAGGUCACAGAUGUGGCUCGGAUCUGGUGUUGCUGUGGCUAUGGUGUAGGCUGGAAGCUGCAGCUCUGAUUUCACCCCUAGCCUGGGAAUCUCCAUGUGCCUUGGGUGCGGCCCUAAAAAGACAAAAUAAAACAAAAUAAAAUGCUCUUUCAAGAAGUUCCUGCUGUGGAGCAACAGGAUCCACAGAACUUCUGCAGCACUAGGUGACAGGUUGGAUCCCCAACCCAGCACAGUAGGUUAAGGAUCCAGUGUUGUCACAACUGUGGUGUAGGUUGCAACUGCAGCUCAGAUCUGAUUCCCGGCCUGGGAACUUCCAGAGGCCACAAGGAGGCCAAAAAAUAAAAAAAUAAAAAAAUAAAAAACACACUUUCAAGAAUACAUAAUAUGUUCAGGCACAUGACACAAUGACAACGUUUGUUUGAAAAAGAAAUUGGAAAAGGUCAGACUGUUGCCUGUGUCUCCGAACAACAAUGGCUCUGAAAUCCAGUCCCCAAAGGGGCCUAAAAUAAGCUCAUCGAGGAGAAACAUGAAGUUGGGGGAGCAGUAGUGAGAAUGGAAAAUGAAGCACAAAUGGAAAUUAAUCAACAUUUCUGAAGUUCAGCUCCUUGGGGAGCAGGAAGAAUGUGCCUCUAAAAAUGUAGAGAUGUCAAAUCUUG